rnacentral:tRNA from 1 species
AAGGGAGACCUAAUUCAGGUAGGAGACGAAAAAAAAGUAGUCGCUACCAAGAAUCAAUCCCAAAAGGUCGGAGCGAGGCGAAAUUGGCUUUCAAACUAGGUUCUGGGUUCACACAAGACCUGAAUCAGGAACAAGGGCUAUUAGCUCAGGUGGUUAGAGCGCACCCCUGAUAAGGGUGAGGUCCCUGGUUCGAGUCCAGGAUGGCCCACCUGUAUAGGUGGCAAAAAGAAAGAAAAGAAGCGAGGAAUCAGCACCUUAUCUUACUGACAUAGUAAGAGAGAAUGCUGGCUCUGAGUAAAGAGUCCAGAGGAACCUUGAAAACUGCAUAGAGCUAGGUGAAAAAGCCAAAAAAGAAGACCGCAA